CAAAUUAACAACUUUUUCGACAUUGUCAUCCGUUUUUCGACAUUGUCAUCCGUUUUUCGACAUUGUCAUCCGUUUUUCGACAUUGUCAUCCGUUUUUCGACAUUGUCAUCCGUUUUUCGACAUUGUCAUCCGUUUUUCGACAUUGUCAUCCGUUUUUCGACAUUGUCAUCCAUUUUUCAACAUUGUCAUCCGUUUUUGAUGUGAAGGACGUCCCGAGCGCAAAAUAUCUUCAACGUCUUUUCGACCAUCUUGGAAAUGGUCUUAAACCAUUCAAAAACAUGAGUCCGCGAUAAACAUUCACUGCCACUUUAGUAAAUUAUAGGUUUUGGUAGUUGGUUUUCCAAGUUUAAAGUGAAAUUUAAUAACUAUUCGUUCCUCUAUUCUUACACUAACCAUUUUUCCGCAAAACAAAAUAACAACACUAACUAACGUAAAUGAAGGUUAUGGCUCAACGAAGUUGUUUACAGAAACGAGACAAUUGCAUUCUGAAGAGGAAGUCUCAAGCUAAACAACACUGUUGGUUAAUGUUGGUUGGCGCAUGCGCACUCGUUUCACUGCAGCGUCAGUCCCGUUAUUUAAUAGCCACACCUCGUAGUUGACACCACCUAUUAUAUUCUCUGCCCACCUUACUAAAACAACAACGAACUAAUUUUUAUUUAUUUCUCCUAGCAAAUAUUGUUAAUAGCUUUGAACUACCUCAACCUUACAAUAAUACUACCCCCAGUAUUAAAGAUAAAUAUCUCUAAUUUAUAUCUAUUUAUUUUUUAUAUCCAUCGCAUUCCAUUAUAUUUUGUAUUUUUAUAAUAUCUAUUGUUUCAUUCCAUCACUAAUAUUGAGCUUUAACAGUGUGUAUUGAAAUAUAAUUUUAUAAGAAACCCUAAUUUGUAUUAUAUUUAACAAUUUCAAUAUGAACAAAUGAUACUUUAAUAAAGAAUAUCUUUUGUUAUGAAGAAAUAAUAUCAAUAUUAUCAACUAAGCCACAAGUAGUUUAUUCUUAUUUAUUGAAUUCGCUUGUUAAUAACAAAUAUUUUCUCUACUAGUAUGGCUUAGAAAACUAGAAACUCCUUCACUUUUUUACUUGUAGCGCUAGUAAUUCUAGUAUUAUAAUAUCCCCACCAAGAAAUGUUCAAAUACAAUAUUUUAUUUUAAUUUAAAAAAUUAUGUGAUUACUUAUAAAAUAGCAUUAUAGUACCCUUUUUUAAAUUGAUAUAAAAUAAUGAUUAAAAACACAAAUUAAAACAAUCUAUUAUUUUAUAUCAAUUUUAAAGGGGUACUUUGAUGUUAUUUGAUAAAUAAAUAUAGGUAGCCCUGAAUAACUAAAUUUUAAGGAGGUAUGUGAUUACCUAUAUUUUAUCAUAACUAUGGUUUAUCGAAGAUUUUAUUCAAUGAAUUUGGAAAGGGUCUUCACCUUUUCCAACUGUAUUUGAGAAAGUAUCAAUUGUAAUUGAGAAUAGUCAUUUGUAUUUGAGAAAACGUGAGAUGUAAAUUAGAAUAGUCAAUUGUAUUUGAGAAAACAUACGAUUUGAAAUCGAGAAGUUGUCAGUUGUAAUUGGAAAAUGUUUUUAAAAAACAGUACUUAUAUUUUCCGUAACUGUACCCAUUUAAAAUAAUAUAUUUAAUAUUCCAAUAAAACGUUUAGUUUUGAAAAAAAAUUAUUUUCAUGCCCCAAAAUCCAUUGAAUAAUUGCCGAAUUGUUUGAUCAAGAGAUUCAAUUGAUUGAUGAUAAAGUUCAAUGGCGCCGUAAACAUAGAGAACUUGAUCUUCAUCAAGUGCAAUAUUCCACAAAAUGUUUGGAGACAAACAUUGGAAGUAAUUGUAGUAAGUAUCGGUAGUAAUUGGAAUACUGUGUACGUAGUAAAGUAUCCUUUCCUGCUCAAAUAAAACCUGUACUCUAGGCUACAGAAGAGUCACGGCAUGUCAAUUGUCAAUUGGAAACUUUUCUCAUUUUCAAUUAUUGAUAUCUUCUCAUUUACAUUUGACGAUUUCUCAAAUACUAUUCACUACUCUCAAUUACAUGUGAUGACUUCCCAAAUACAAUUGACUAUUCUCAUCUGCAUCUGACAUUCUCUCAAUUACAAGUGACUAUUCUCAAAUACAAUUAUUGAUACUUUCUGAAAUACAAUUGGAAAAGGUGUGGAAGGAGAGAUAGGAAGUGGAAGACAACGAAGGAAAACAAGAAUAAGAAAGGAAAAGGAAGAAAAGGAAAUACGAAGAAGGAGAAAGGAGAAGGUAGAACAACCACCGCAAUAAAAAAGUGAUAAAUUCAAAUAGGAAAAAAGGAAAACCCCAUUUUAACAAAUAUUAAUAUUUGAAAUUCUUUCAACUUGUUUAUUCAUCUAUACAUUGAAACAUACACUAUCAUAACUUCAUUAGUAGGUGAUAAUAUUCAACUGAUAUCACUAUUAUCUAGUGUGAGCUACAUGCUUUCUCAGUUAAAAAUUCAAAUCCUCUAUACUUCUCGAUUUAGCUUCAACUUAAUCGUAUAACAAUUAUAAUUUUUCUUCAAUUCAUGCUAUUCGAAGUAUUAUUUUUUCAACAAAUAAUAACUCAACAUUCUUUAACUCUUAACUUGGUGCAUCCAUUGUUUAUGAGAGUGAUAUCAUAGUAAUAAAGUAUAAUACAAUUUAGUACUAGUUGUCAUACUGAAGCAAUAUUGAAUCAAGUGUAUAUUGUAAAUUAUGUAACGUGAACAAUUAAACAUGUUUUACAUCUCUUGUGAAUUCCAUAUACAUAAAUGUGUAGCUGAUAUAGUCAUAUCCUAGUUACAAUUUUCUAUGUAUAUUCCAAUCUGAAAUCUUCAAAAGCGUACAGUUUUAAAGCAUAUAUUUGAAUUAGUAAAGCUAAAUUAUAAUAACUCCUGUAAAUAACGAAAACAUUGUGUAAAUUUGUAAUCUCUAUUCUAUUAAUGUAUAACUUCUAAUAUAAUCUCUCUUGUAAAUUAAUAAAUGAAUGUCCGUAAUAGCCAAUGCAAUACUGUUGAUAUGCAUAUAGUUUCAGUAAGAUAUAAUCUUGUAUAGUCGUGGGCUGGUCAUUGAAUUAUAGGACGUCUCCUUGCAAUAAAAAUAAGUACCGUACCGUACAUGAACUCUAUAUGAAAUUAUUUAACUUGUCGAAUAAGGAUUUGACAACUAAUAGCUAUUAGAUUAUAGGAAAGAUGAUUAUUUUUAUUCACUUAUGUUGAUAUUGAUGAUUACUAUUGUAAUAAGGACCGUGUCUUUACUAUGUAGAUCAGACAACAUUAUUAAAUAAUUUUUUUCUAUAAAA
rnacentral:lncRNA from 1 species